UCGUUCCUACGGGGGGCAGCAGUAGGGAAUCUUCCACAAUGGGCGAAAGCCUGAUGGAGCAACGCCGCGUGGGUGAAGAAGGUCUUCGGAUCGUAAUACCCUGUUGUUAGAGAAGAAAGUGCGUGAGAGUAACUGUUCACGUUUCGACGGUAUCUAACCAGAAAGCCACGGCUAACUACGUGCCAGUAGCCGCGGUAAUACGUAGGUGGCAAGCGUUAUCCGGAUUUAUUGGGCGUAAAGGGAACGCAGUCGGUCCUUUAAGUCUGAUGUG
rnacentral:rRNA from 1 species